UUUACCAUUUUUUCCUAAAGGAAAAAAAAACAUCCUGGAAGCAAUGGCCUCAUGUUGCCAGAGUGUAAACUGGAGGUGGUUUUUCAUAUCUGUAAUAAUUGUGCAAAAGAGAGAAUUUCAGCAAGUAUUGCUUGUUACCUGGUUGAGGAAAAACAACACAGGCUGAAACCCCCUUUUCUAUACAACUGUUAAGGACAAGAGCCAUCUCCAGUUUUCAGUGUAGCAACCCCAUCAACAACACUCAGGCAGGACUGGGAUGGCAAGGAGAACGGCAAACACCUUUGCAGUAGUAUUAUAAUGCAGAUUGCCCUUUUUAUACUAUUGUUUGGAUUAUGUUCAAGGAAUUGUCCUAGAUCAGUGGUUCUCAACCUGGGGUCCCCAGAUGCUUUUGGCCAACAAUUUACCAGCUGUUAGGAUUUCUGGGAGUUGAAGGCCAAAACAUCUGGAGACCCCAGGUUGAGAACCACUGUCCUAGAUGGUAUAUGUGUGUAUUGUGUGUAUCAAAGGCAUACGUUUAGUACGUCUUAUCUAUAAUUGCUCAUACAUGUCCCUGCAUCUGGAUGUUUUCUAAAACAUUUAUUGUUAUAUGCUUUCAAGUCCUUUCAAACUUAUAAGGAUCAUAAAGCACAGUGUUGUCUUUGUUCAGAGAUGGUUGCCUUUGCCUUCUGAGGCUGGGAGAGCAUGACUUACUUGUCCAAGGACAACCAAUUCAUUUAAAUAGAAAAUCAGGGAUUCAAGCCCUGAUUUCUGGUGUUAUAGUCCAAUUAUGACAUAGGCUGAUUUGUUAAUAUCUAUAAAAAAAUCUGCAAAGUUACUUUGUAAAGUCAGGUUUGAACUGACUCCACGGGGCCUUAUUUUGAAUGUCUCAGAAUGCAUAUUCUCCAACAUUUUACAGAUGAAAAUUGGGACACAUGUGGCAAAGCACCAUCAAAGUGUGGUCAAAAUCGCAAAAGUAUUAAUGAAGAAUGUAAAAGCUAGAAAAAGCUUUUGCCUGAGGCCCCUUCUAUGUUGCCAUAUAAAAUGGAGGUUAUCUGCUCUGAGCUGGAUUAUAUGGCAGUGUAGAUUCAUAUAAUCCAAUUCAAAACAGAUAAUCUGCUUCAAUAAUUGGGAUUAUAUAGAAGUGUAGAAGGGUCCCCAGUUGGCAGGGAAGAGCUAAAUUCUGCCUUCUCCUCUUCUACCCAGUGGAGCUGAGUGUAAACUACUUUUUCACUUUGAAUUCCUUUACAACAAUUGAACUACUUUGCAGACAAUGGGAGAAGUGAGAGGAAGAGAGAUAAACUAGGACAUUUUUAAAGCAGUUAGAAUAGUGGGAUGACAGAGGAUUAAUGGGGAAUUGUCUCUACUCCCUUCCACACAGCUGAAUAAAAUCCCACAAUAUCUGCUUUGAACUGGAAUAUGUGGACUUUGAUAGCCCAGUUCAAAGCAGAUAUUGUAGGAUUUUCUGCCUUGAAUUUCUGGUUUAUAUGGCUGUGUGGGCCCCCUGCCAAACAGUUGGAGCUAUAAGAAUGUAGAAAGUGAGAGUAAAAAAAAUAACUGCUCUCUGUGCAUUUUACUCAUCACUGAGUAAGAAGAAUAGCCUGCCUCCAAACAUUUUCCCCAUCACUGAAUAAACUGAGUCUCUUUACAAACAUUCAGGAUUAAGGACUUACAGGGGCUAUAUGGUAGGUUUGAAGCUUCUAUCUCAAAUGAUUUUUAAUCAUUCCUUGGCUGUCAUACUAUGCAUCAUGCUUUGCUUUUUUGUUUGUUUUGUUUUUGAAGAGUGCCUUUGCCCUCACAACACAAACUCCAUGCAUAUGUGGGAUGAGGAAGAAGGAGAGGUUGCUCAUCCUAAAAAGUUCCAAGUAGAUCCCAACUCCUUCUAUUUUGAGAACCAAGGAAAAUUGUUAAAUUGGUCACCCAAAUCAGCAUUGGGGGGAUCUGCUACCCACCUAAAAGGAGGAGAAGACUGGGAAGACUUGAUGCACAGAAUCAUGUUUCAGACUCUAUAACAGCCAUACCAUUGCCAGGUUUGGUUUUAUGGCUGAAGCCAAUCCAAGCUUGUAAAAGAUAAUAACUGCGAGGCUCUUUGUUGCUAUGCCUGCUAGGGGAUAGAGAGAGAGAGAAAAAGAGAGAGAAGAGCACACAUAAAAAGAGAAAGAGCCAUUACCAACUCCCCUCCCCUUUAAAAAAAAAAGAAAGGAUUCUUCCUUUGGGCUGAGUUAUGUUUUUAACAAGCAUUUCCCAAGCAAUUGUUGUUAUAUAGUCCUUUCCUCUCUCUUUUUCUGGCCUGGACAUGCCUGGACAUUUUCUUGCUGGAAGGCUGCAAGACAUCUCAUACAAUUUUGUUCCUUUCUCCAAGGUUUGUAGCCAAGUGUAGAGCAUAAGGGGUGCUGGUGGAGAGCAGCCCGUAAUAUAGCCACAAGCCAGAAACAGCAAGAGUGAAACUCCCAGCAGGUGAAAGUGGUUGAACUUCCCAAGUGGGGUCAAUAAUGAGGAGGAAAAAUGUUGAAGUUUCUGGGUGUGCAAAGGUUUGGAGAGCCAAAUGGGGAGUGGGGAGGUGGGUUCUCAACCAUAUUCCCUUAAAUCAGGCUUGCCUGCAAAACAUCCAUGUUAUAUUAUAUUAAAUUAGCAGGUGUAAUUAUCAGAAGAUUGUAUUAUAAUUGUGGUUGGAAUGCUGUUGGAGUUUCUUUUCCCACCCUUGUCAAGGCCCCCACCCAAAUCCACAGUUUGAAGACUAGAUGUUGACAUGUGAAUUAUUAACACAACUGUCUUCCAAUAUUUAUUAUGAAAACCUAGUAUCUAUGGGUUCUUUUAAGGCAGUCAUCUAUAAUUGGAUUUUAAGAAAUAAUCUAAGAAGUUGCAAGAUUUUAAAAGACACACGAAACUGCAUUUCAACUUGGUUUUUGGCAACUGCGAAUUUGGGACAAGCAAGCUUUCUUUAGAAGCGGACCCUCUAAUCGUCAGCCUCCGAAAAGCAGAUAACAAUAAUUAUAUCAUCUCAUUUAGCUGUGAUGGCACAAGGCUUGCCUCUUCCUUGGUGGAAGAAAAUAAGACUUGCUGAGUUUUCCUCUUAUGAGGGAAGAAAAUGAAGAUCUAAGAGCCGCCAAGCAACAUUAAGAGAUGCAUUAAGAAUUUAAGAACAUCAGAGAUCACUGAGACACACAAAAACGAAACUAGAUGUGUCAAACAAUUAUUGUAUUCCAUAUUGUUUUCUGGUGUUAAAAAAUUGACCAUUGAAAGUAGCUGCAUUAAUGUAUUGCAUGCUAGUGGGGAUUUUUAAGGUGCCAACAAGAUUUUCUUGAAUUACAUCAUGUUUCUGAGCAUUCAAUCUCCAUAAAAUAGUAUGAAAUAAGAAUAAAAUAGCCAGGCUUAUCUACAGGUUUUCUUCCCUGUCCAUCCCUCUUGUUGAGAUCUCCAGUCCUCUAUAAAAUGGUACUGCAAGUGAAGGUUUUGCUGUAAUGCUGGGAAUGAUUUUGCCCAUUACAUUUCUGGUGAUUGGAUGGCCAUUUAAAAGCACAACUACUACUUAAAAUAAAAGGCAAUCCUAACUAUGCUGUGACAGAAGACACAAGACACUGGACAACAAAGUUGAAAUUGCAGCACAAUCAACCCAUCUUGUAUUUUAAAAUUCUAACCUUAGACCAUGCAUCCUUAUGUAUUAAUCCACACUGAAGAUAAAAUCUUAAUACAAAAUUGUCUGAGGAGGGAAAUUGAAGGUAAGGGACUUCAAAAGCAGCUCAAUAAGGAAUGUCUCUCAAUAUGCUCUGUAUAGUCAUGGAAAAUUGGGAGGGAGGGAGGGAACAGAAUGAGGCAUUCUGGAAGAGGGCAUGGAUAGUGGGUUGUGGCGCAGGCUGGAGAGCAGCUGCAAUGAAUCACUGCAAUGAAUCACUCUGACCAGGAGGUCAUGAGUUCGAGGCCCGCUCGAAGCCUAUGUUUGUUUGUCUUUGUUCUAUGUUAAAAUGGCAUUGAAUGUUUGCCUAUAUGUGUAAUGUUAACUGCCCUGAGACCCCUUCGGGGUGAGAAGGGCGGAAUAUAAAUGCUGUAAAUAAAUAAGUUAUAAUAAAUAAUAGUUGUGUAGCACCAAAAACAGAAUACUGCACAGUGUUCACAUUUCGUUGCUGGGAAAUCAGAAGACAUUUACUUCUUGGAAGGAGAGCAAUGAACAAUCUCGAUAAAAUAGUGAAGAGUAGACACAUCACACUGGCAAUGAAGGUCAGCAUAGUUAAAGCCAUGGUAUUCCCCAUAAUAACCUUUGGAUGCGAGAGCUAGACUAUAAGGCAGGAUAAGCAAAGGAAGACAGACGCUUUUGAACAGUGGUAUUGGAGGAAAAUUCUGAGAAUGCCUUGGACCGCAAGAAGAUCCAAACAGUCCAUACUCCAGGAAAUAAUGCCCGACUGCUCACUGGAGGGAAGGAUAUUAGAGGCAGAGAUUAAGUACUUUGGCCACAUCGUAAGAAGACAGGAAAGCUUGGAGAAGAUAAUGAUGGUGGGGAAAAUGGAAGGAAAAAGGAAGAAGGGCCGACCAAGGGCAAGGUGAAUGGAUGAUAUCUUUGAAGUGAUUGGCUUGACCUUGAAGGAGCUGGGGGUGGCCACAGUUGACAAGGAGCUCUGGCGUGGGCUGGUCUAUCAGGUCACAAAUAGUUGGAAGAGACUGACUGAAUAAACAACAACAACCUGCUUGUUUCACAGAUCCCUGUUUAUUAUCAUUGCCAGGUUUAUCCUCAAAAUGGAUUCUUGGCCAGUUCCAGACCUUGGUUGAAAGUAAUUGUUUCCUAACAUCUAUUUAAAAUGUCUUAGGGUGCAUCUACACUGUGGAAUUAAUGCAGUUUGACACCACUUGAACUGCCAUGCCUCAGUGCUAUGGUACUUUUACAAGGUCUUUAGCCUACUCUUUCAAAGAGUGCUGGUGCCUCAUCAAACUAGAAAUCUCAGGCUUUCAUAGCAUUGAGCAUUUCAAGUGAUAUCAAACUGCAUUAAUUCUACAGUGUAGGUACACCUCAAUUACAGGUGUAACGUUUUAAAAAAAACACAGUUGAGGUACAGAAAUAGGGAUUAAAUAUAUGCAAUCAUUAAUUUGGGUUGCUGCAAUCCUUAAUUUCUUAUUAGCCCUAGUAUUCUUUGUACAGGGCUAUUUCAUCCAUAUUCAAAGCUUACUUUUUAUGAUAAAAACCCUACAAUGAGGAUUAACAUGAAAUAAUCAUUUGCAUUUUUACUCAGAAGCAAAUUCUGCUUUGUGUAAGACUUCAAUCUCAGACAAGCAUACAUAGGAUUGUUGUCUCAAAUGCUAUGCAGUGAAAGACUAUACAUGCCCAGUGAAAGGGCAAACCUUUGGUGUUCAAUGGGACUUACUCCCAUUUAAGUGAGCAUAUGUUUGCAACUGAUUAUUUUUUCUAGAAUCCUUUCUAUAUUGCAAGCAAAAUUCCAAAUAUACUCAAUACCCAAGCAUCUUAAUUCUUACCAUCUUAAGUAUUAAAAGACUACUGCUCAGAUCUCAGGCUGCAGUGGCAGCUGCUUGUAGUUUUCUCCUCCAUAAGUUUCUCAUUAGUUGUAUGUGUUUGUGAAGAACACAUCAGAAAGCAGGAAAGAAACCUAGAUGUGUUAUUUUUCAGAAUGUAUAAGGACAGGAAGAUUGCUGGGUCCAUUUUCACAAUUUUUGAUCUGUUCAGUGGCAUGAUUACAUAAUGUGAGUAAGCAGAAUACAUGAUAAUUCUAUAAGGAAUUUUAGAGCAGGAAACAGAGGAAUAUUAUCUGUCUUCACCAUCAUGGUGAAGGAUGAAUCAACAAAUUUAUUAUUUGAGCUAUACCUCCUAGAACCGUGUUUCCCUAGCCAGCUUGUCCAGAGGCCACUGGCCAUGCUGUGUGGGCGGGGAGAUGUCUGGAUGUUGGUCCAAUUUAAAAAUUAAAGAUUCAGCUGUAUGCUUAUCUGUUUUUAGUGAGCAAUUUUGACAAUUGCUGAUGUCUCUCCAUGGCCUGUAUUGCUCCUGAGCUCUGCCAUUUCUGUUACAUUAGAAAUGCUAUUAACUGCAAUAUUAUGUGCCCAGGGCCAACAGCCAGAUGUUAUGAUUAUAUAUAGUGCCAAACCUUGAGAAACAAUAAACAAUAAACAAACUCUGUAUAUA